rnacentral:tRNA from 2 species
GCUCCCUUCGUCUAGCGGUUCAGGAUACCGCCCUCUCACGGCGGGGACAGGGGUUCGAUUCCCCUAGGGAGCGCCA